GAUGAACGCUAGCGGCAGGCUUAACACAUGCAAGUCGAGGGGUAGAGGUUGCUUGCAACCUUGAGACCGGCGCACGGGUGCGUAACGCGUAUGCAACCUACCUUUUACAGAGGGAUAGCCCAGAGAAAUUUGGAUUAAUACCUCAUAGUAUAUAACCUUCGCAUGUGGGUUAUAUUAAAGUUCCAACGGUAAGAGAUGGGCAUGCGUCCUAUUAGCUAGAUGGUAAGGUAAAGGCUUACCAUGUCAACGAUAGGUAGGGGUCCUGAGAGGGAGAUCCCCCACACUGGGACUGAGACACGGCCCAGACUCCUACGGGAGGCAGCAGUGGGGAAUAUUGGACAAUGGGCGCAAGCCUGAUCCAGCAAUGCCGCGCGAGUGAUGAAGGCCUUAGGGUUGUAAAGCUCUUUAGGUUGGGAAGAAGGGUAUUGGCUGAAUAAUCCAGUACUCUGACGGUACCGACAGAAUAAGCACCGGCAAACUCUGUGCCAGCAGCCGCGGUAAGAC
rnacentral:rRNA from 1 species